GAUGAAGAACGCAGCGAAAUGCGAUAAGUAAUGCGAAUUGCAGAAUUCAGUGAGUCAUCGAAUCUUUGAACGCACAUUGCGCCCCCUGGUAUUCCGGGGGGCAUGCCUGUUCGAGCGUCAUUUCACCACUCAAGCCUCGCUUGGUAUUGGGCAACGCGGUCCGCCGCGUGCCUCAAAUCGACCGGCUGGGUCUUCUGUCCCCUAAGCGUUGUGGAAACUUUCGCUAAAGGGUGUUCGGGAGGCUACGCCGUAAAACAACCCCAUUUCUAAGGUUGACCUCGGAUCAGGUAGGGAUACCCGCUGAACUUAAGCAUAUCAAUAAGCGGAGGA
rnacentral:misc_RNA from 1 species